CGUAAGUAACCUGCCCCAGAGACCGGGACAACAGUUCGAAAGGACUGCUAAUACCGGAUGUGCCCACCCUGUCGCAUGACCGGGGUGAGUAAAUCGCGCAAUCGGCUCUGGGAGGGACUUGCGGCCUAUCAGCUAGAUGGCGGGGUAGUGGCCCACCAUGGCGACGACGGGUAGCUGGUCUGAGAGGAUGGUCAGCCGGACUGGGACUGAGAUACGGCCCAG
rnacentral:rRNA from 1 species